rnacentral:rRNA from 1 species
AGAAGAAAACAGGGUUCUGUUGAAUUUCAAGUAUUCAGUUUCAUCAAUAAGAUACGGAGACUUGCUUCACAUUUAGAAUUGCACAAAAAAGACUUUUUAUCGGAGAGAGGUCUACGGAAGACUUUUGGGAAGAACUGA